GCGAUAGCUGGUUUCUCAAGAAAAGAAUUUUAGUCCAACCUAAAGCAUGUAUUUAUACUCAUAAAUUUUCUCCCACUUUAGAGUAAUUCAAAUAAGGUACAGCCUAUUUGAUACAGGACCCAACCUUUACUAACGGGUAACAUUAACUCACAUUUACAAGUGGGCCCAAAAGCAGCCACCUUUCAAAAAGCGUCAAAGCUUAACUAUGUUUACUAUAAUUUCUUAACCCAUCUAGACCCCUUCAACCGUACUGAGAACUUCUAUAACAUUAUAGAACCUUUUAUGCUAAAACUAGUAACAAGAGGAAACCCCUCUCCCCAAUGCAAGUUAAAACCAACAAGAACCCACCACUGGCAACCAACAGACCUCAACAAAAAUAGCAACUUCACUAGAAAACCCUACUUCCCACAACUGUUAACCUAACACCAGAGCAUUUCAAAAAAGAUUAAAAGAAAAAGAAGGAACUCGGCAAACAUUAGCCCCGCCUGUUUACCAAAAACACCGCCUCUUGUCCACAUAAGAGGUCCAGCCUGCCCAGUGACUCUUGUUCAACGGCCGCGGUAUCCUAACCGUGCGAAGGUAGCGUAAUCACUUGUCUUCUAAAUAAAGACCAGUAUGAAAGGCAUCACGAGGACUAAACUGUCUCCNUUCCCCAAUCAGUGAACCUAAUCCCCCCGUGAAGAAGCGGGGAUUCCCAUA
rnacentral:rRNA from 1 species